GGGCGAUUAGCUCAGUUGGCUAGAGCACCUGGUUUACACCCAGGGGGUCACAGGUUCGAAUCCUGUAUCGCCCACCA
rnacentral:tRNA from 1 species